AGAAUGUUCAUGGAAACCAAAUGAAGAAAGGGACUCAUAAGUUAACUGAAGAAGGAGACUCAUUCUUCAUUAUCUCUCGGAAUCCAUUAUUGUUUGCAUUAUCAUUGACGACUGUGAGAAUCUGCAGAAAAAAACAGUAUGGAACUACAACUUCACGUUCUUGAGAAAAGCUUGCAGUGUAAGAUGCGUUUGUUUGUGGUGCCUGAGGAAGAGAGCAGCAGAAAAGAGAGUUGGUAGUGCUGAGCUGCUGAAGGUUCAUUACUGCCUAGCCUUGAGAAUGGAGGCCCCACUGGGUACUCUUCAUAAGAGAUGCCCCAACUCGUCAAAGGAAUUAUGGAGUCUGGAAUUUUGAUAGGUGCUACGCAGAAGGUGCCUUAUGACUAUCCCCUAAUAGAAAUCCUAGGCACUAAAUCCCUAAUGAGCUUCCCUGGUGGACAACAUUUCAUAUAUGUUGUCAAAAGUUGUUGCUGAGGGAAUUAAGCAGAGCCCAUAUGAUUCCACAGGGAAAGGACUUCUAGAAACUUUCAUAGCUGGUUUCCACUGGACAUUGCCACAUAUGACAUUUCCCUUUACUUAUAUGCUUUGCAUCCUUUUACUGUAGUAUAUGAUAGCCAUGAAUAAGACUAUGAGUCCUCCUAGCAAAUCAUCAAACCAGAAGAUUCAUGCGGUUUUUAUAUCAAUGGAUUUCCUAAUAUUGUAUCAACAUCAUAUUCCCAGAAUAAAUCACACUUGAUCAAAAUGUAUC
rnacentral:lncRNA from 10 species